rnacentral:rRNA from 1 species
UACUGAGGCGUCGCGCCGCGGUUGGACGUCCGCCAGAAGUUGUUCUAGGACUUGUACCGCCACCGCCCGCGCGACCGGUUCCUGGUCUACCACGCAGCGUACAAGCACAACUCCCUGUACCUCAAGCUGCCGGCUCCCCAAGCGGCGCGAUCUCCAACACAAGAUCUUGCACCCGUGCAGGUUCCACCGUAGCGGCCACCACCGGCGUGUCCGGCCGAACCGCGACCACUCGCCGAUCAGCUUCUUGGACCACGUGGAGAAGGACCUCCGGCUGCCGCACGGGUGGGGGAACGCGUAGUACCAGCUGCGGUAGAGCCGUGGGAUCCUCUUGCGAGGCUUGCUGUUGCGUCGGGUCAGCGGGGUGGGUGUUGUGCGCUGGGUGAGGGGGCUGUUGGUAUAGGUGAGGAGGGUGAGAGUCAGUGUAGAGCUUAGGAGCUCUCAAAGCUGGCCGCGGGGAGCGGCGGCCCGUACCUCCGGUGGGGGGCGUUCGAGCAAAAGAAUAGGCCACUGCGUGCCCGCCACCUCCACAGCGGUGCGCGCGGCGCCGGAGCGAGCCUCCACCUCCUCGCUCAUCUCUCCCGCGCGAGCCACCCGCCGUACCGCUCCGUCUUCCACCUCUCCCUCACCCGCCGGUACGGAGCCGCCUCGUCUCCGCCGCUCUCAACGCCUCGGCUCCUUCCCUCCAACGCCUUCCGGGCGCUCCUUCUGCCUCCGCUGGAGCGCCUCCCCUUCCCCUCGUCGCCCGCCUGCUUGCGCCUCCGCCUCGAGUUGUACGGCGGACCGAAGGCGAAGGUGGAGUGCUUGCUGCUCGAGCAGCACGUGAUGGAGACGUCCCUCCACCGCCGGGUCGGCGUCGGCACGGGGAGUAGCGGCUCGAGCGAGACAUGUUCAAGUUGGGGACCCAGACGGACCACGCAGAAGAAGGAGAAGGGACGACGAGCGAUGGUACAAAAGGAGGAGGACGAAGCAGUGAGUAACCAAAGCAGACUAAGUUGUUACAUACUACCGGCAACCCGUUACUACAACCCGACCAUGGUAACAGGACCGGGCGACCUCCCUCCCUGCCGACCUCCCUCCCUCGUCCAGCAAGUCCUCCUUCCCUCUAGCCUGGCUUGCCUUAGCAAGCCCUCGAGGGCAGAGGACUGGCUUGUUAUGCAAGCUAGACCGAGGAGGAGAGUGGCUUGCAGGCGCGCUAUAGCCCUUUAGAACAUAGCGCGUGAUUACAGCCUUCACACGUGGCCGCCGCCCAACGUGGUCGCGCCCUCACAGGGCCGGUGCUCGUCCAAGACGUCGUCCCCGGGGCGGAGGUACUGCUCGAUGUCGUCGGCUGGGGAGCCACCGUCGCCGAAGAAGCGCCACUCGUCUCGUGCCGCAGCAGGGGCGUGAGUCAAAUAACUCCCACUACUAUCCGCGGCCGCGAAACCCGGCCAGUGGGCGCUCGGCAUGCUAAGACGGGGAUAGUCGGAAGGUUAGGAAUAGGAAGGGGACGGGUAGGGAAAGGAGGAGUGGCGUGCUCUAGACUCUUUUUCUUUUUGUGCUCGUGUACCGUCGGCGUGGAGCGAUGGUGCGGCGUGACGGGCACAGGCGGGAGGGGAGCAAACGGGAGCAACAGCUGUCAACGACAGCACGAGCGGCAGCUGCGAGCGUUGUUUUCUUUUACGAUGGACACAGUGUAGAUCAACCUAGGAACCUUUUUUACGACCAAGGUCGUUUUGUUCUAAUGUUACCAUC